rnacentral:rRNA from 1 species
UACGAAGGGUGCAAGCGUUACUCGGAAUUACUGGGCGUAAAGCGUGCGUAGGUGGUUUUUUAAGUCCGUUGUGAAAGCCCUGGGCUCAACCUGGGAAUGGCAGUGGAUACUGGAAAGCUAGAGUGCGGUAGAGGGUAGUGGAAUUCCCGGUGUAGCAGUGAAAUGCGUAGAGAUCGGGAGGAACACCAGUGGCGAAGGCGGCUACCUGGACCAGCACUGACACUGAGGCACGAAGGCGUGGGGAGCAAACAGG